AUUGAACGCUGGCGGCAUGCUUUACACAUGCAAGUCGAACGGCAGCGCGGGCUUCGGCCUGGCGGCGAGUGGCGAACGGGUGAGUAAUACAUCGGAACGUGCCCAGUAGUGGGGGAUAGCUCGGCGAAAGCCGGAUUAAUACCGCAUACGACCUGAGGGUGAAAGCGGGGGAUCUUCGGACCUCGCGCUAUUGGAGCGGCCGAUGGCAGAUUAGCUAGUUGGUGGGGUAAAGGCCUACCAAGGCGGCGAUCUGUAGCUGGUCUGAGAGGACGACCAGCCACACUGGGACUGAGACACGGCCCAGACUCCUACGGGAGGCAGCAGUGGGGAAUUUUGGACAAUGGGCGAAAGCCUGAUCCAGCAAUGCCGCGUGUGUGAUGAAGGCCUUCGGGUUGUAAAACACUUUUGGCGGGAACGAAAAGGACUGUGCCAAUACCACGGUUCGAUGACGGUACCCGCAGAAUAAGCACCGGCUAACUACGUG
rnacentral:rRNA from 1 species